rnacentral:rRNA from 1 species
CAGGCCUAACACGUGCUAGUCGAGCGCCAGCACAGUCCCGCUUGCUCUCGGGUGACGAGCGGCGGACGGGUGAGUAAUGUCUGGGAAACUGCCUGAUGGAGGGGGAUAACUACUGGAAACGGUAGCUAAUACCGCAUAACGUCGCAAGACCAAAGUGGGGGACCUUCGGGCCUCAUGCCAUCAGAUGUGCCCAGAUGGGAUUAGCUGGUAGGUGGGGUAACGGCUCACCUAGGCGACGAUCCCUAGCUGGUCUGAGAGGAUGACCAGCCACACUGGAACUGAGACACGGUCCAGACUCCUACGGGAGGCAGCAGUGGGGAAUAUUGCACAAUGGGCGCAAGCCUGAUGCAGCCAUGCCGCGUGUGUGAAGAAGGCCUUCGGGUUGUAAAGCACUUUCAGCGGGGAGGAAGGCGGUGAGGUUAAUAACCUCAUCGAUUGACGUUACCCGCAGAAGAAGCACCGGCUAACUCCGUGCCAGCAGCCGCGGUAAUACGGAGGGUGCAAGCGUUAAUCGGAAUUACUGGGCGUAAAGCGCACGCAGGCGGUCUGUCAAGUCGGAUGUGAAAUCCCCGGGCUCAACCUGGGAACUGCAUUCGAAACUGGCAGGCUAGAGUCUUGUAGAGGGGGGUAGAAUUCCAGGUGUAGCGGUGAAAUGCGUAGAGAUCUGGAGGAAUACCGGUGGCGAAGGCGGCCCCCUGGACAAAGACUGACGCUCAGGUGCGAAAGCGUGGGGAGCAAACAGGAUUAGAUACCCUGGUAGUCCACGCUGUAAACGAUGUCGAUUUGGAGGUUGUGCCCUUGAGGCGUGGCUUCCGGAGCUAACGCGUUAAAUCGACCGCCUGGGGAGUACGGCCGCAAGGUUAAAACUCAAAUGAAUUGACGGGGGCCCGCACAAGCGGUGGAGCAUGUGGUUUAAUUCGAUGCAACGCGAAGAACCUUACCUGGUCUUGACAUCCACAGAACUUACCAGAGAUGGUUUGGUGCCUUCGGGAACUGUGAGACAGGUGCUGCAUGGCUGUCGUCAGCUCGUGUUGUGAAAUGUUGGGUUAAGUCCCGCAACGAGCGCAACCCUUAUCCUUUGUUGCCAGCGGUUAGGCCGGGAACUCAAAGGAGACUGCCAGUGAUAAACUGGAGGAAGGUGGGGAUGACGUCAAGUCAUCAUGGCCCUUACGACCAGGGCUACACACGUGCUACAAUGGCAUAUACAAAGAGAAGCGACCUCGCGAGAGCAAGCGGACCUCAUAAAGUAUGUCGUAGUCCGGAUUGGAGUCUGCAACUCGACUCCAUGAAGUCGGAAUCGCUAGUAAUCGUAGAUCAGAAUGCUACGGUGAAUACGUUCCCGGGCCUUGUACACACCGCCCGUCACACCAUGGGAGUGGGUUGCAAAAGAAGUAGGUGGCUUCACCUUCGGGAGGGCGCUUACCAC